UUUCAGUGUAAAUUACAAAACUUUGAAAUUUUUUAAAGGUUUUGAAAGUCUUUCACAUCCUUGGCUUCUUUGUGUGAAAUAACCUAGACUAGAGUGGCAAAGGAACCUGAAAGGGCCAGCUCCCUGAAACUGCAGAUACUUGGCCAGCUUCUGGAAGGAGCAACUUUCUGAACAGGCUCCCUGGGGGAUUUGUGUGGAUGAAAACAGAGCAAUAAGAAAUAAAAAAAGAGUACUCUGAAGCACUUGAAGAUUUGACUCAUAAUGGAGAAAUGUCAUCCAGUUUCUACUCAUUUCUAUCAAGCACUCGGUCUAUGAGAUUGUGGCUGGUGCACAAGUCUUGAAAACAGUUCUCCAUUGGCAAAGUUCAUGCAGGAGUAACCGCCCUUGUCACCUUCACCAAGGAAUAAUGUGGACAGUGGCCAACAGACAAUAUAUGCUAUCAAGUAGCUGUUCAAGUAUUUGCAGUCUCCUUAGAGGGUAGAGUCUUCAA